GGGUGGUUAACGGGUCAACCCGUUAAUCACCCGUUAAAUAACAUAUCAGUUUGGGUGAACCUGCGAAGCCCGUUAACACCCAUUAGUAAGGACUUUUGUGUAAUUUCAAUAGUUUCCAAAACCCUCAAGUUCCUGACUUUCUCACUGCCUCGCACGCCAUUGCUCUCUGAGACUGAGAGAUUGAUGUGCUCCGUCCUUCUGGCUCCAGUUAUCUCCCUCAUCUUCUUCCCUCAAAAUUUUUAUUAAACUCCACCACUCUCUCUCUGCAUGUCUAUCAGAAACAUUUGUCACAUAGAGGUGAAUGUUGAAGGCAAAAAAGUAGCAUAGGAUGCAAUGCAAGAAGGUUGGCAAAAAUGCAAACAGAGGAUGCAAUGCAAGAAGAAGAAAGAGAGCUACUGUAGUCUGUAGUGAGACAUUGGUUGAGAUUUGAGAAAAAAGAAUUAGAGUGUUUUACUUAUAUCCAUGUUAAGAUUCGGAGAAACAUAUAACUAAUAGAAAGUCGAAUUUUAUUAUAUAAAAUGGGUUUGUAAUUGAUUUGGA